AAACGGGUGCGGAACACGUACGCAACCUUCCCAAAACUGAUGAAUAGCCUUCCGAAAGGAAGAUUAAUACAUCGUAAGAUAACGAGGUGGCAUCACUUUGUUAUUAUAGCUCCGGCGGUUUUGGAUGGGCGUGCGCCUGAUUAGGUAGUUGGCGGGGUAACGGCCCACCAAGCCUCCGAUCAGUAACUGGUGUGAGAGCACGACCAGUCACACGGGCACUGAGACACGGGCCCG
rnacentral:rRNA from 1 species